UACGAAGGGGGCUAGCGUUGCUCGGAAUCACUGGGCGUAAAGCGCACGUAGGCGGCUUUCUAAGUCAGGGGUGAAAUCCUGGAGCUCAACUCCAGAACUGCCUUUGAUACUGGAGAGCUUGAGUCCGGGAGAGGUGAGUGGAACUCCGAGUGUAGAGGUGAAAUUCGUAGAUAUUCGGAAGAACACCAGUGGCGAGGGCGGCUCACUGGACCGGUACUGACGCUGAGGUGCGAAAGCGUGGGGAGCAAACAGG
rnacentral:rRNA from 1 species